CCCGCAACGAGCGCAACCCUUGCCAUUAGUUGCUACCAUUCAGUUGAGCACUCUAAUGGGACUGCCGGUGACAAACCGGAGGAAGGUGGGGAUGACGUCAAGUCCUCAUGGCCCUUAUGACCAGGGCUUCACACGUCAUACAAUGGUCGGUACAGAGGGUAGCCAAACCGCGAGGUGGAGCCAAUCUCAUAAAACCGAUCGUAGUCCGGAUCGCACUCUGCAACUCGAGUGCGUGAAGUCGGAAUCGCUAGUAAUCGCAGAU
rnacentral:rRNA from 1 species